GACAAACGCUGGCGGCGGGCUUAACACAUGCAAGUCGAACGGAAAGGCCCUGCUUUUGUGGGGUGCUCGAGUGGCGAACGGGGGAGUAACACGUGAGUAACCUGCCCUUGACUUUGGGAUAACUUCAGGAAACUGGGGCUAAUACCGGAUAGGAGCUCCUGCUGCAGGGUGGGGGUUGGAAAGUUUCGGCGGCUGUGGAUGGACUCGCGGCUUAUCAGCUUGUUGGUGGGGUAGUGGCUUACCAAGGCUUUGGCGGGUAGCCGGCCGGAGAGGGUGACCGGCCACAUUGGGCCUGAGAUACGGACCAGACUCCUACGGGAGACAGCAGUGGCGAAUAUUGCCCAAUGGGCGGACGCCUGAUGCAGCAACGCCGCGUGCGGGAUGCCGGCCUUCGGGUUGUAAACCGCUUUCGCCUGUGACGACGCGUGAGUGACGGUAAUGGGUAAAGAAGCACCGGCUAACUACGUG
rnacentral:rRNA from 1 species